UCCUCGGUAGCUCAGUGGUAGAGCAAGCGGCUGUUAACCGCUUGGUCGAUGGUUCGAAUCCGUCCCGGGGAG
rnacentral:tRNA from 1 species